rnacentral:tRNA from 1 species
GGGGCUAUAGCUCAGCUGGAAGAGCGCCGCCAUGGCAUGGCGGAGGUCGUCGGUUCGAGCCCGACUAGCUCCA